rnacentral:rRNA from 1 species
UACGUAGGGGGCAAGCGUUGUCCGGAUUCAUUGGGCGUAAAGAGCGUGUAGGCGGCCAGAUAGGUCGGUUGUGAAAACCGGAGACUCAACCUUCAGAGGUCGACCGAAACCAUCUGGCUAGAGUCCGGGAGAGGAGAGUGGAAUUCCUGGUGUAGCGGUGAAAUGCGCAGAUAUCAGGAAGAACACCCGUGGCGAAAGCGGCUCUCUGGAACGGUACUGACGCUGAGACGCGAAAGCGUGGGGAGCGAACAGG